rnacentral:rRNA from 1 species
CCUACGGGAGGCAGCAGUAAGGAAUAUUGGUCAAUGGAGGCAACUCUGAACCAGCCAUGCCGCGUGCAGGAAGACAGCCCUCUGGGUCGUAAACUGCUUUUAUUCGGGAAUAAACCUAUUUACGUGUAAAUAGCUGAAUGUACCGAAGGAAUAAGGAUCGGCUAACUCCRWGCCAGCAGCCGCGGUAAU